rnacentral:rRNA from 1 species
AUGAAAUGCGCAGAAGGAGAUACUUAUGUUAUUCUGUUGUUGCAGACACCUUGUGCUUUGUGCAGACCAUCAAUGCCUUUUCCUCCUGUUCGGCCAGGAGAUGAAUGCUUUCUAAACAUUGGUAAUAACAAUGAGAUCAGAGAGUACUGCUCUAUUGAUUGCUCUUCUAAAUCUUGUGAGUGCAAGGCAUGCAAAGUGUUAACUGAAACCCCAUGGCCUACUCGCCAUCGUCAACUUCCUCUUUGCGCUCGCCGUCAACGCUCCCAUGGGCGGAGCCACAAGGGGAUGGAUGUACAUAUGUACACCCGUUAA